GCGGGUAUCGUAUAAUGGUAUUACCCCAGCUUCCCAAGCUGGUGACACGGGUUCGAUUCCCGUUACCCGCU
rnacentral:tRNA from 1 species